rnacentral:rRNA from 1 species
UACAGAGGGUGCAAGCGUUAAUCGGAAUUACUGGGCGUAAAGCGCGCGUAGGUGGCUAAGUAAGAUGGGUGUGAAAUCCCCGGGCUCAACCUGGGAACUGCAUCCAUAACUGCUUGGCUAGAGUACGGUAGAGGGUAGUGGAAUUUCCUGUGUAGCGGUGAAAUGCGUAGAUAUAGGAAGGAACACCAGUGGCGAAGGCGACUACCUGGACUGAUACUGACACUGAGGUG